AUGACAAUAAAUAAAUAAAUAAAUAUAAAUUAUUAGUAAUAUGACAUCACGUGAUUAAUUCUAACCAAUGAGACUGCUGGAACAGCAUCAAUGAACUGUCAUUCCGGAAUCGACUGGUACCGCAAACAGAUCAUUGGUUCUGCCCUUAUUUAUUGCCAUCUAGUCCUGUUUGAAGAAUUAACUGUGGCUCCAGCCAUUAAGCAGACCUGAACCAGAUGAUGAAGGUCUUCAGGAUCACCAGACACUACAGGCAGGUGUGUGAGAAAGUUGGAGCUACAUACUGCAGGACGUUGGUCCUCCAUGACCAGGACUGGACACCACUGUUGUCUAAGCCAGCCACAGUGGAUACAGUGAAGCCACAAACACAGUUCAUAGUUCUUGUAUCUCUUUUACAUAUUAAGUAAUAAAAAAGAUCAUGUUAA